rnacentral:tRNA from 1 species
AAGGCUUGCAAAACUCUUAUAUACAUCUACUGACUGCAACUCAGCCGCUUUAAUUAAGCUAAAGCCUC